rnacentral:rRNA from 1 species
CGUUCCCAUACCGAACACGGCAGUUAAGCCCUCCAGCGCCGAUGGUACUCGGGGCGCGAGCCCCCGGGAGAGUAGGUCCCCGCCAGAA